AUUGAACGCUGGCGGCAGGCCUAACACAUGCACGUCGAACGGAGUGGCGGACGGGUGAGUAAUGUCUGGGAAACUGCCUGAUGGAGGGGGAUAACUACUGGAAACGGUAGUUAAUACCGCAUACUACAAGAUGAGCCGAGGUCGGAUUAGCUAGUUGGUGGGGUAAAGGCCUACCAAGGCAACGAUCCGUAACUGGUCUGAGAGGAUGAUCAUGCACACUGGAACUGAGACACGGUCCAGACUCCUACGGGAGGCAGCAGUGUGGAAUAUUGGACAAUGGGCGAAAGCCUGAUCCAGCCAUGCCGCGUGGGUGAAGAAGGUCUUCGGAUUGUAAAGCACUUUAAGUUGGGAGGCGUUACCAACAGAAUAAGCACCGGCUAACUUCGUGCCAGCAGCCGCGGUAAUAC
rnacentral:rRNA from 1 species